AGAACGAACGCUGGCGGCAUGCCUAAUACAUGCAAGUCGAACGAGACCUUCGGGUCUAGUGGCGCACGGGUGCGUAACGCGUGGGAAUCUACCCUUGGGUUCGGAAUAACAGUUGGAAACGACUGUUAAUACCGGAUGAUGACGAAAGUCCAAAGAUUUAUCGCCCAGGGAUGAGCCCGCGUAGGAUUAGCUAGUUGUGAGGUAAAGGCUCACCAAGGCUACGAUCCUUAGCUGGUCUGAGAGGAUGAUCGAGCCACACUGGGACUCGAGACACGGCCCAGACCUCCGUACGGGAGCGAGCAGUACGGGAAUAGUGGAACAGUGGGGGACAACCCUGACUCCGAGCUAAGUGCCGCGGUGAGUUGAUUGGAACGGUCCGUUAGGGUUA
rnacentral:rRNA from 1 species